CAUGUACUCCCUCCGUUCCAAAUUACUUGUCGCUGAAAUAGAUGUAUCUAGAACAAAAAUACAUCUAGAUACAUCCAUACGUGCGACAAGUAAUUCGGAACGGAGGGAGUAUCAU
rnacentral:pre_miRNA from 1 species